AAGUCGUAACAAGGUCUCCGUUGGUGAACCAGCGGAGGGAUCAUUACAGAGUUACUACUCCAAACCCAUUGUGAACCUUACCUAUGUUCUGUUGCCUCGGCGGCGUGGUCAGCGCCCCUCUGAAAAGAGGACGAUGCCCUCCCGCCGGCAGCACCAAACUCUUGAAUUUUUACAGCGGAUUACAGUUCUGAUUUGAAAACAAAAAACAAGUUAAAACUUUCAACAACGGAUCUCUUGGUUCUG
rnacentral:misc_RNA from 1 species